AAAAUAUGAUGGGGUAGUGCAACAAUCCCUUGAGUCUUUCCCAAGUCUUAAACAAUGAUUCUCCUUUUGACUGUUUGAACUCUGUGAUUUGGUUUCUCAAUUU